ACCGAACUUAAUCCUUGCAUUUCAAAUAGUACCGUGCUAUUCUAAGGAAGAAUUAUUUUUGUUCGAUGGCUUUUCAUUAAGUAUCAGAUUUUAUCUGAAGGAUUUGAGCAAGGAUAGUAAUACAAUGUAUGCAUUAGCAUACGAGGAGGAAACACACAUGGAACAAGGUAAAGUAAAAUGGUUUAACUCAGAAAAAGGAUUCGGCUUCAUCGAGCGCGAAGGCGGAGACGACGUAUUCGUACACUUCUCAGCUAUCCAAAGCGAAGGAUUCAAAACUCUUGACGAAGGUCAAGAAGUUACUUUUGACAUCGAGCAAGGCCAACGCGGUCUUCAAGCUACUAACGUAUCAAAAGCUUAAUUAACCCUUAAACUUUCAAUGGACUCUUCUUCGGAAGAGUCCAUUUUU
rnacentral:sRNA from 1 species